UAUUUAAUUAAUUUUAUUAAUAAUUAUAUAUUUAUUUUAAAGAUUAAACUAUAUAUAUUUAAAUUUAAAUAAUUAAAUUAUAAAAUUGCGAAUAGUUUAUUAAAUUAGUUAUAGUUUAUUUGAUAGUACUUUACUAUAUAGAUAACCAUAGUAAUUUUAGAGUUAAUAUAUAUUAAAAACCCCAACUUUAGAAGGGGUGUAUUUAUUAAAUUAAAAACUAAUACCCUUCGGGGUUAAUUAGUAAUUUAUAAUAAUUUUUUAAAUUAUAUAGUUUUAUAUUAGUAAUAGUUUAUUUAAAUUUUUGCCCUAUUAAUUUUCGAUGGCUAGGUCUUAGUUAGCUAUAGUAAUAAUGGGUAACGGAGGGUUAGGGCUCGACUUUAGAGAAGGAAUUUGAAAAACGGUUACUAUAUUUAAGGAAGGUAGUAAGCGUAUAAAUUACUUAAUUCCGAUACGGGGAGGUAAUGAUAAUAAAUAUUAAUAUAAGGUUCUUUUGGGUUUUAUAAUUGGAAUAAAUAUAAUUUAAAUCCCUUAACGAGGAAUAAUUGGAGGGUAAAUUUAGUACUAGUAGUUGUAGUAAUUCUAGUUUUAAUAGUAUAUAUUAAAGUUAUUAAGGUUAAAAAGUUUGUAAUUGAAUUUUAGGCUCGGUCUAUUAGUCCGCUUUACUAUAUAUAUUAAUUGGGUUGGGCCUUUUUUCCUAGAGAAUUGUAUAUUCUUUAUUAGGUGUGUUGGGGAAUUAGGACUUUUAUUAUAAAUAAAUUAAAUUGUUUAAAGAAGGCCUAUAUUCGAAUAUACUAAUAUAGAAUAAUAGAAUAGGAUGUAUAGUUUUAUUUUAUUAGUUUCUAAGAUUAUUAUAAUAAUUAAUAGGGAUAGUUGGAGGUAUUAAUAUUUAAUUAUUAGAAGUAAAAUUCUUAGAUUUAUUAAAAACUAAUUAUUGCAAAAGUAUUUACUAAGGAUGUUUUUAUUAAUUAGGAACGAAAGUUAGGGGAUUGAAGACGAUUAGAUAUUAUUAUAAUUUUAAUUAUAAAUUAUACUAAUUAAAGAUCGGAUAGUAUUAUUUUUUAACCUAUUCGGUACCUUAUAAUAAAUUAAAAUAUUUAGGCUCCUAGGGGAAUAUAAUUAUAAGGUUAAAAUUUAAAGAAAUUAAUAGAAGGGUACUAUUAAGGGUGGAGCUUGCGGCUUAAUUUGACUCAAUACGGGGAAAUUCACUAGGUCUAAAUAUAAUAAGGAUUAAUAAAUUGAAAGCUCUUUUUUAAUUUCGUAGGUAGUAGUAUAUAGCCGUUUUUAGUUAAUAGAGUAAUUUAUUUAUUUAAUUAUAAUAACGAACGAAACUUUAAUUUACUAAAUAGCUUAUAUUACUUUAAUAGUACGUUAAUUUUUUAAAGGGAUUAUCGGUUUAAACCAAUAGAAAUUUAAAGUAAUAAUAGGUUUAUAAUGCCUUUAAAUAUUUUAGGCCGUACGCGCGCUAUAUUAAUAUAAUUAGUAAAUAUUCCUUUAAUUGGAAGGUUUAAGUAAUUUUAUUAAAUUAUAUUAUAUUAGGGAUAGAAUAUUACAAUUAUUACUCUUUAAUAAAGAAUCCUUAAUAAAUAUAAAUUAUUAACUUAUAUUAAUUAUAUCCCUACCCUUUAUAUAUACCGCCUAUUACUACUAUUAAUUAAAUAGUUUAGUAAAAUUUCCGAAUUGGUUUAGGGAGGUUAGUAACGACUACUUAGGGCUAGAAAGCUAUUUAAAUUUAAUUAUUUAAAGGAAAUAAAAAUUGUAAUAAGGUUUCUAUUAGUAAAUUAAUAGAAAGAUUAUUA
rfam:Neurospora crassa OR74A unplaced genomic scaffold supercont12.8, whole genome shotgun sequence.